AUGAAACCUAAAAGCUGGUAAAUCACAGAGGUGCUAAAGAAUAUCUAAGGGACACGAAAUACAAAAGACAAAACCAUCAAAACAUCACAAAAUCCCAGAACAUUGAAUAAACAAAACCUAAAGACAGAGUCAUCUGACUCUGGACCAUGACACAUUCUGUUUCUCUUUCCUGGUGGAGAGGUGGGGAACACCAAAGAAGUGAUCGAUCUAAUGAAGAAAAAAUCAGGUUCUCACAGGUGAAAGCAUAAAAACACAACUUUGGACAUUCUGUGAAAAUCUACACUGUAGGAGCCAUGUGUUUCUCUUUUGGGAUUGGGGAAGGGGCCAGCUCUGCUCUCAUCAAUGGGAUGGCCAAGGAAGGAGGAGGUCACGCUCAGUUCAUCAUAGGGACUGACAGGA
ensembl:lncRNA